GCCUGGGUGGCUCAGUUGGUAGAGCACGUAACUCUCGAUCUCGGGGUUGUGAGUUCAAGCCCCACGUUGGGCG